CAUAUGUUAAAACCUUUCAGAUGGGCAUAAGAUUUUAUCAGGGGGUGUGAGAUUUUUUGAUGGAUGCGAGAUGGCAUAUGGAGGGGGUACGAAUCAAAUCUGAGAGCACCCCAUCGCUAACUAUUUAAAGGGGGUGCACUAGGGAUUUGUUUCAUUCAGAUCUCUGACUCUUAUCUCUUUUCUUACACACUCUCCCUAUUAUCCAAUUAGUUCUCUUGUUAGAAUAAGUCAAAAAAUAGUAAGGACAAGUCUAAUUUUAGGACAAAAGCCUAGGAAGAGAAUUAAGGAAGACAAGGAGAGAAGAAAGGUAGGGAUAGGAAGGCUAAG
rnacentral:lncRNA from 1 species